rnacentral:rRNA from 1 species
AUAUUGGACAAUGGGGGAAACCCUGAUCCAGCAAUGCCGCGUGAGUGAAGAAGGCCUUAGGGUUGUAAAGCUCUUUCGCCCGAGACGAUGAUGACGGUAUCGGGAGAAGAAGCCCCGGCUAAUUCCGUGCCAGCAGCCGCGGUAAUACGGAAGGGGCUAGCGUUGUUCGGAUUUACUGGGCGUAAAGCGCGCGUAGGCGGCCGCUCAAGUGAGGCGUGAAAGCCCCGGGCUUAACCUGGGAACCGCGCUUCAGACUGGUCGGCUCGAGUCCGGGAGAGGGUGGUGGAAUUCCCAGUGUAGAGGUGAAAUUCGUAGAUAUUGGGAAGAACACCGGUGGCGAAGGCGGCCACCUGGCCCGGUACUGACGCUAUAGCGCGAAAGCGUGGGGAGCAAAC